UUACAUCCUGGGCUACACACACGCGUACAAUGGGUGAUACAACAGGUUGCGAUAGAGCAAUCUGGAGGCCAAUCCCUAAAAUCAUCCUCAGUACGGAUUGCAGGCUGCAACUGCCUGCAUGAAGUUGGAGUUGCUAGUAAACGCAGGUCAGCACACUGCGUUGAAUACGUUCUCGGGCCUU
rnacentral:rRNA from 1 species